UACAGAGGUCUCAAGCGUUGUUCGGAUUCAUUGGGCGUAAAGGGUGCGUAGGUGGCGUGGUAAGUCUGGUGUGAAAUCCCGGGGCUCAACCUCGGAACUGCAUUCGAUACUGCUUUGCUUGAGUACUGGAGAGGAGAUUGGAAUUUACGGUGUAGCAGUGAAAUGCGUAGAUAUCGUAAGGAAGACCAGUGGCGAAGGCGGAUCUCUGGACAGUUACUGACACUGAGGCACGAAGGCCAGGGGAGCAAACGGG
rnacentral:rRNA from 1 species